GACAGAGGGGGCAAGCGUUGCUCGGAAUUACUGGGCGUAAAGGGCGCGUAGGCGGGAUGGCAAGUCGGUCGUGAAAUCCCUCGGCUCAACCGAGGAACGUCGAUCGAUACUGCUGUUCUUUGAGGAUUGCAGAGGAGACUGGAAUUCCCGGUGUAGCGGUGAAAUGUGUAGAGAUCGGGAGGAACACCGGUGGCGAAGGGCGGGGUCUCUGGGGCCGUAACUGACGCUGAGGAGCGAAAAGCGUGGGGGAGCGAACAGG
rnacentral:rRNA from 1 species